rnacentral:rRNA from 1 species
GUCAGCUACAAGGCUCACCGGGAAUACUUGGCCACACAAGCGAUGAAAGGACUGUACUGGCAUAGGUCUCCCGGAACUGGAGACACGCGCUUGUAAUC